rnacentral:rRNA from 1 species
CCGGCGCACGGGUGAGUAACACGUAUCCAACCUGCCGUCUACUCUUGGACAGCCUUCUGAAAGGAAGAUUAAUACAAGAUGGCAUCAUGAGUCCGCAUGUUCACAUGAUUAAAGGUAUUCCGGUAGACGAUGGGGAUGCGUUCCAUUAGAUAGUAGGCGGGGUAACGGCCCACCUAGUCUUCGAUGGAUAGGGGUUCCGAGAGGAAGGUCCCCCACAUUGGAACUGAGACACGGUCCAAACUCCUACGGGAGGCAGCAG